GACAGAGGGUGCAAACGUUGUUCGGAAUUACUGGGCGUAAAGCGCGUGUAGGCGGCUAUGCAAGUCGGAUGUGAAAGCCCUCGGCUCAACCGGGGAAGUGCACCCGAAACUGCAAAGCUAGAGUCUCGGAGAGGAUCGUGGAAUUCUCGGUGUAGAGGUGAAAUUCGUAGAUAUCGAGAGGAACACCGGUGGCGAAGGCGGCCUGCUGGGCUGUUGCUGACGCUGAGGCGCGACAGCGUGGGGGAGCAAACAGG
rnacentral:rRNA from 1 species